GGGUUGGUAGCUCAGUGGUUAGAGCUUAGGGCUCGUAACCGAAAGGUUCCGAGUUCGAACUAACUAGAACUAAAUUU
rnacentral:tRNA from 1 species